GCCUACGACCAUAUCACCCUGAAUGUGCCCGAUCUCGUCUGAUCUCGGAAGCUAAGCAUGGUCGAGCCUGAUUAGUACUUGGAUGGGAGACUGCCUGGGAAUACCAGGUGUUGUAGGCU
rnacentral:rRNA from 1 species